rnacentral:tRNA from 1 species
AAUGGGGUGGUGGAAUUGGUAGACACGCCGUUUUACCAAAUCGGUGCCGAAAGGCGUGCGGGUUCGAGUCCCGUCCCCCCUA